GAUGAACGCUAGCGGCAGGCUUAACACAUGCAAGUCGAGGGGUAUAGUUAGCUUGCUAACUUGAGACCGGCGCACUGGUGCGUAACGCGUAUGCAAUCUACCUUUUACAGAGGGAUAGCCCAGAGAAAUUUGGAUUAAUACCUCAUAGUAUCUUUGCCUGGCAUCAGGUGAUCAUUAAAGUUCCAACGGUAAAAGAUGAGCAUGCGUCCUAUUAGCUAGAUGGUAAGGUAACGGCUUACCAUGGCAACGAUAGGUAGGGGUCCUGAGAGGGAGCGCCCCCAGACGGAUACCGAGACACGGAUCAGAGUCAUACGGGAUGCAGCAGUGAGGAAUAUUGGAAUAUGGGCGCAAGCCUGAUCCAGCCAUGCCGCGUGCAGGAAGAAGCCUCUAUGGUGUGUAAACUGCUUUUGUACUGGAAGAAACACUCCCUCGUGAGGGAGCUUGACGGUACCGUAAGAAUAAGGAUCGGCUAACUCCGUGCCAGCCGCCGCCGUAAAAC
rnacentral:rRNA from 1 species